CUGAGCACUGCUUUUUUUAUUUGAUUUAAGAAUGAUUCAAUAUUCUCAAAAUAAUGAACUCUCAACAUUGAGGAACUUAAAUGGGGAUCCUCAAAGUGAUCAUGUGCCUUCACAUACACCUUCAAGACCUGGAAUAAUGACGGACAAGUUGCAUGGAGUCCUUUUAUCACACUACUUUUUGGGUGCUUUAUUUUUUUUAGCUUUAAAUUUAGUUUUGUGCUCUGCAGAAGUUAGUUAUUUGCAUAUGAGUUGAUAUGAAUGUGGUAAAUAAUGACAGAAUUAAAAUUGAGUGAACAAUUCCUUAAAUGUUGUUACUUUUUGUUGUUACUGUUGGUUUGUGCUGCAUUGAAAGAAAAACCAAGUGGAGAAGAUGUCCUUGAAGAGUACAAAGCCACCAAUACAGGGUCAAAUAAGAUAAGAUGAGUUCUUGCCAACAUAUUGGUGGGGCUCUUGACAGAGACUCUGUAAUGCUGCAGCAUUUAUGAGCAUCUAGAUACAAGCACAAAGUAAUCUUCUAGCCACUGGGAGAAGUAGAGACAAUAUUGACAACUAUUACAUCGCCCUGGAUAAGAAGCUGAUCCCUUGUCAAGUGCUGUCUACAGGAUAGAUGUUGGCAAAACAAAUGUCUCCAAGAGUGAAAGAACUGAGAGUAAUGCUACACAGUGAACAUUACAAUGCAUUUAGAGUGGUUGAUGGUAAUGCACAGGAUUCAGAAUACCUAUGGACCAAGUGAGACAUAUGUUGUGCCUUUGCAUUGUUUUUUCAAGGCAGUGUAAUGUGUGAAUUGUUGUAAGAACCCUACAAUUGUUUUACAUAUUUACAUGUAUUAAAAACAUAGAACAUG